rnacentral:rRNA from 1 species
UACGUAGGGUGCGAGCGUUGUCCGGAAUUAUUGGGCGUAAAGAGCUUGUAGGCGGUCUGUCGCGUCUGCUGUGAAAAUCCGGGGCUCAACCCCGGACUUGCGGUGGGUACGGGCAGACUAGAGUGUGGUAGGGGAGACUGGAAUUCCUGGUGUAGCGGUGAAAUGCGCAGAUAUCAGGAGGAACACCGGUGGCGAAGGCGGGUCUCUGGGCCGAUACUGACGCUGAGGAGCGGAAGCGUGGGGAGCGAACAGG